rnacentral:lncRNA from 1 species
UCCUAUGAGUGAAUGCGUUCCUUACUCCAACUACCCAAACCAAACCCUUUUCUUGCAGCGAGGAAAGCGCAUGAAUAGAUAUAAGGACUACUUAGAGGCUCGGGCUGAGUAGAAGAGUGAAGAAGAUAGAGGAACAAACCUAGCUAAUACAGGCGAUGCAGGAGAUAUAUGGAACCAAACAAGUUUAGUUUGAAUUAAUUUUAAUUUGAUUUAAUUUAUAUUUUUUAAACCAAACCAAACCAUAAAAGACAUGCAGCAUGUGAAUAUAAACAUAAAUAGAAAAGAUUACGUCAGCUACUGCAUGGAAGGAUUGUCCUAUGAGUGAAUGCGUUUCUUGCUCCAGCUGCCCGAACCAAACCAUUUUCUUGCAGCGAGAAAAGCGCUUGAGGAGAUAUAAGGAAUAGUAAGAGGGUCGGGCUGAGUAGAAGAGUGAAGAAGAUAGAUGAACAAAUCUAGCUAAUACAGGAGAUGCAGGAGAUAUAUGGAACCAAACAAGUUUAGUUUGAAUUAAUUUUAAUUUGAUUUAAUUUAUAUUUUUUAAAUCAAACCAAACCAUAAAAGACAUGAAAUAGGUGAACAUAAAACAUAAACAGAAAAGAUUCAGGUGAACAUAAACAUAAAUAGAAAAGAUUAGUCAGCUACUGUAUGGAAAGAUUGUCCUAUGAGUUAAUGCGUUUCUUGCUCCAGCUGCCCGAACCAAACCCUUUUCUUGCAGCGAGGAAAGCGCUUGAGGAGAUAUAAAGACUACUUAGAGGCUUGGGCUGAGUAGAAGAGUGAAGAAGAUAGAGGAACAAAUCUAGCUAAUACAGGCGAUGCAGGAGAUAUAUGGAACCAAACAAGUUUAGUUUGAAUUAAUUUUAAUUUGAUUUAAUUUAUAUUUUUUCAACCAAACCAAACCAUAAAAGACAUGCAGCAGGUGAAUAUAAACAUAAAUAGAAAAGAUUAGUCAGCUACUGUAUGGAA